CUCAAAAAUGCAAAAUUGACUGGUAUGAUGGACACAGGAUGGCCGAGCAGUGAUAGUUGUACAUUUCCAUCACUCGUUGUGUUGAUUUCAUCAUGUCCAUUAGGUGAUGUUUUUACACUAUAGAAUCAUAUUGCAAGUGCGCGCGCAUUUGCAAUAUGUUUCAAUGUGCAUUUACCAUAUGAAAUUUGACAUGCUCAAAAAUGCAAAAUUGACUGGUCUGAUGAACACAGGAUGGCUGAGCAGUGAUAGUUGUACAUUUCCAUCACCUGUUGUGUUGAUUUCAUCAUGUCCAUUUGUUUAUGUUUUCUCACUUUUGCAAAGUCACUGUGCAUUUGCAAUAUGGUUCAAUGGGCAGGUACCAUCACGAAUUUGUCAUGCUAUAAAAAUCCUGCAGGAAUGUGAAAUUGACUGGUCUGAUGAACACAGGAUGGCCGAGCAGUGAUAGUUGUACAUUUCCAUCACUUGUUGUGUUGAUUUCAUCAUGUCCAUUAGGUGAUGUUUUUCACUAUAGAAUCAUAUUGCAAAUGCACGUGCAUUGUUGUGCAACUGGUAACCCAAAAAUUAAAAUAUGGUUGUAAAUGCAUUUACCGGUCAUUCUGAUAUUAAUGCUCGCUAUGGGAACACAGGAUGGCCGGGCAGUGAUAGUUGUACAUUUCCAUCACUCGUUGUGUUGAUUUCAUCAUGUCCAUUAGGUGAUGUUUUUACACUAUAGAAUCAUAUUGCAAGUGCGCGCGCAUUUGCAAUAUGUUUCAAUGUGCAUUUACCAUAUGAAAUUUGACAUGCUCAAAAAUGCAAAAUUGACUGGUCUGAUGGACACAGGAUGGCCGAGCAGUGAUAGUUGUACAUUUCCAUCACUCGUUGUGUUGAUUUCAUCAUGUCCAUUAGGUGAUGUUUUUUCACUAUAGAAUCAUAUUGCAAGUGCGCGCGCAUUUGCAAUAUGUUUCAAUGUGCAUUUACCAUAUGAAAUUUGACAUGCUCAAAAAUGCAAAAUUGACUGGUCUGAUGAA